GCUACACAUGCAGUCGAGCGGUAGCACAGAGAGCUUGCUCUCGGGUGACGAGCGGCGGACGGGUGAGUAAUGUCUGGGAAACUGCCUGAUGGAGGGGGAUAACUACUGGAAACGGUAGCUAAUACCGCAUAACGUCGCAAGACCAAAGUGGGGGACCUUCGGGCCUCAUGCCAUCAGAUGUGCCCAGAUGGGAUUAGCUGGUAGGUGGGGUAACGGCUCACCUAGGCGACGAUCCCUAGCUGGUCUGAGAGGAUGACCAGCCACACUGGAACUGAGACACGGUCCAGACUCCUACGGGAGGCAGCAGUGGGGAAUAUUGCACAAUGGGCGCAAGCCUGAUGCAGCCAUGCCGCGUGUGUGAAGAAGGCCUUCGGGUUGUAAAGCACUUUCAGCGGGGAGGAAGGCGAUGAGGUUAAUAACCUCGUCGAUUGACGUUACCCGCAGAAGAAGCACCGGCUAACUCCGUGCCAGCAGCCGCGGUAAUACGGAGGGUGCAAGCGUUAAUCGGAAUUACUGGGCGUAAAGCGCACGCAGGCGGUCUGUCAAGUCGGAUGUGAAAUCCCCGGGCUCAACCUGGGAACUGCAUUCGAAACUGGCAGGCUAGAGUCUUGUAGAGGGGGGUAGAAUUCCAGGUGUAGCGGUGAAAUGCGUAGAGAUCUGGAGGAAUACCGGUGGCGAAGGCGGCCCCCUGGACAAAGACUGACGCUCAGGUGCGAAAGCGUGGGGAGCAAACAGGAUUAGAUACCCUGGUAGUCCACGCUGUAAACGAUGUCGAUUUGGAGGUUGUGCCCUUGAGGCGUGGCUUCCGGAGCUAACGCGUUAAAUCGACCGCCUGGGGAGUACGGCCGCAAGGUUAAAACUCAAAUGAAUUGACGGGGGCCCGCACAAGCGGUGGAGCAUGUGGUUUAAUUCGAUGCAACGCGAAGAACCUUACCUGGUCUUGACAUCCACAGAACUUUCCAGAGAUGGAUUGGUGCCUUCGGGAACUGUGAGACAGGUGCUGCAUGGCUGUCGUCAGCUCGUGUUGUGAAAUGUUGGGUUAAGUCCCGCAACGAGCGCAACCCUUAUCCUUUGUUGCCAGCGGUUAGGCCGGGAACUCAAAGGAAACUGCCAGUGAUAAACUGGAAGAAAGGGGGGGAUGACGUCAAGUCAUCAUGGCCCUUACGACCAGGG
rnacentral:rRNA from 1 species